rnacentral:rRNA from 1 species
GACGAACGCUGGCGGCGUGCCUAAUACAUGCAAGUUGAGCGAUGAAGAUUGGUGCUUGCACCAAUUUGAAGAGCAGCGAACGGGUGAGUAACGCGUGGGGAAUCUGCCUUUGAGCGGGGGACAACAUUUGGAAACGAAUGCUAAUACCGCAUAACAACUUUAAACAUAAGUUUUAAGUUUGAAAGAUGCAAUUGCAUCACUCAAAGAUGAUCCCGCGUUGUAUUAGCUAGUUGGUGAGGUAAAGGCUCACCAAGGCGAUGAUACAUAGCCGACCUGAGAGGGUGGACGGCCACAUUGGGACUGAGACACGGCCCAAACUCCUACGGGGGGCAGCAGUAGGGGAUCUUCGGCAAUGGACGAAAGUCUGACCGAGCAACGCCGCGUGAGUGAAGAAGGUUUUCGGGUCGUAAAACUCUGUUGGUAGAGAAGAACGUUGGUGAGAGUGGAAAGCUCAUCAAGUGACGGUAACUACCCAGAAAGGGACGGCUAACUACGUG